rnacentral:tRNA from 1 species
GGCUUNAUAGUGGAAAUAUAAGACGUUAGACUGCAAAUCUAAAAAUGUGAUUGAAUCGCUAAAGC